rnacentral:rRNA from 1 species
AGGGGGAAUAACAAUGAGAAAUCAGUGCUAAUACCGCAUAAGGUUCAGUCAUCGCAUGAUGGCAGAAGGGAAAGGUGGCGGACUCGAGAGAGGCUAUCGCUGAUAGAGCGACCCGCGUCUGAUUAGCUAGUUGGUGGGGUAAAGGCCUACCAAGGCGACGAUCAGUAGCCGGCCUGAGAGGGUGGACGGCCACAUUGGGACUGAGACACGGCCCAAACUCCUACGGAAGGCAGCAG